rnacentral:rRNA from 1 species
UACGUAGGGGGCAAGCGUUAUCCGGAAUACUGGGCGUAAAGCGCACGCAGGCGGUUCGCCAAGUUUGGAGUGACAGUUGUCGGCUCAACCGAUAAAGGACUUCAAAAACUGGUGAACUUGAGAGCGAGAGAGGAACAUGGAACUCCAGGUGUAGCGGUGAAAUGCGUAGAUAUCGUAAGGAAGACCAGUGGCGAAGGCGGGUCUCUGGACAGUUCCUGACGCUGAGGCACGAAGGUCAGGGGAGCAAACGGG